rnacentral:rRNA from 1 species
GACAGAGGGUGCAAACGUUGUUCGGAAUUACUGGGCGUAAAGCGCGCGUAGGCGGCUUUGUAAGUUAGAGGUGAAAGCCCGGGGCUCAACCCCGGAACAGCCUUUAAGACUGCAUCGCUAGAAUCCGGGAGAGGUGAGUGGAAUUCCGAGUGUAGAGGUGAAAUUCGUAGAUAUUCGGAAGAACACCAGUGGCGAAGGCGGCUCACUGGACCGGCAUUGACGCUGAGGUGCGAAAGCGUGGGGAGCAAACAGG